CCUACGUGAGGCAGCAGUGAGGAAUAUUGGUCAAUGGACGCAAGUCUGAACCAGCCAUGCCGCGUGCAGGAUGACGGCUCUAUGAGUUGUAAACUGCUUUUGUACGAGGGUAAACCCCGAUACGUGUAUCGGGUUGAAAGUAUCGUACGAAUAAGGAUCGGCUAACUCCGUGCCAGCAGCCGCGGUAAUACGGAGGAUCCGAGCGUUAUCCGGAUUUAUUGGGUUUAAAGGGUGCGUAGGCGGUUUGAUAAGUUAGAGGUGAAAUGUCGGGGCUCAACCCCGAAACUGCCUCUAAUACUGUUGGACUAGAGAGUAGUUGCGGUAGGCGGAAUGUAUGGUGUAGCGGUGAAAUGCUUAGAGAUCAUACAGAACACCGAUUGCGAAGGCAGCUUACCAAACUAUAUCUGACGUUGAGGCACGAAAGCGUGGGGAGCAAACAGGAUUAGAUACCCCAGUAGUC
rnacentral:rRNA from 1 species